UACGAAGGGGGCUAGCGUUGUUCGGAAUUACUGGGCGUAAAGCGCACGUAGGCGGAUAUUUAAGUCAGGGGUGAAAUCCCGGGGCUCAACCCCGGAACUGCCUUUGAUACUGGGUAUCUCGAGUCCGAGAGAGGUGAGUGGAAUUCCGAGUGUAGAGGUGAAAUUCGUAGAUAUUCGGAGGAACACCAGUGGCGAAGGCGGCUCAACUGGCUCGGUACUGACGCUGAGGUGCGAAAGCGUGGGGAGCAAACAGG
rnacentral:rRNA from 1 species